UAUCUCCACCACCUCCUCAGGGAUAGUCCAUACAUCUUCAGAUGUACAGCUUUGCCAGUCUCUCAGGCAUCCUGAUGUGCUGUGUGGGUAUCCUCCAUUGAUCAAUGAAUGUCUGUUUAGUUGUAGUUCAAAGGGGGAGAGACAAAAGGAAGAGCUCACUCUGCCACGUUGCUGACGUCACUCCUAAACUGUGAUUUUCUUAAAGUAUGUCUUGGACUCCUGUAUUAGGACAUAUAGAUCUUCCUCAUUCUUUUUUGCAUAAUACCCACCAAACUCAAACAAUGACAUUCCUUGUAGGGUAAAGAAACUGAG
rnacentral:lncRNA from 1 species